rnacentral:lncRNA from 10 species
AUUACCAAUUGUCCAUGGUCUCAGGGUCAAAGGAAAUUCUGAAUGCUCAACUGCAAUCAAUUGGAUCUAAAAGAAAUGAAAUCCUUCGAUUUUUAAAUUUGAUUUUUAGACAUGUGGUGAGCACACAUGUACCAGGUAGGCUGUACUGGAUGCUGAGGUUCCAUAAUCUCUGCCCUCGAGGAGCUCAAUGUCUAGCAGGAGAACCAGAAAGAGACAUUGUCUUGCUCUGUCACCAAGGCUGGAAUGCAGUGGCCAUCACAGCUCACUGUAACCUCAAACUCCAGGACUCAAGCAAUCCUCCUACCUCAGCCUCCUGAGUAGUUGGGACUAUAGGUGCAUGCCACCACACGUGGCACUUUUUUUUUUUUUUUUUUUUGAGACAGAAUCUUGCUCUGUCAUCCAGCCUGGAGUGCAGUGGCACGAUUUCAGCUCACUGCAACCUCCACUUCCUGGGUUCAAGCGAUUCUCUUGCCUCAGCCUCCCGAGUAGCUGGGAUUACAGGCAUGCGCCACCACACCCGCCUAAUUUUUGUAUUUUUAGUAGAGAUGAAAUUUCGCCAUGUUGGCCAGGCUGGUCUCGAACUCCUGAGCUCAGGCAAUCCGCCCACCUUAGCCCAAAGUGCUGGGAUUAUAGGCAUGAGCCACUACACCUGGCCACACGUGGCUAAUUUUUAAAAGUGUUUUGUAGAGGUAGGGCCUCAUUAUGCUGCCCAGGCUCAUCCUGAACUUCUAGCCUCAAAUGAUCCUCCCAUCUCAGCCUCCCAGAAGUGCUGGGAUUACAGGCAGGAGCCACCAUACCUGGCUGUAGUUCACUGACUCUUGAGGAAAGCCUGCACCUUGCACACAGUGGAUACUUGAUAGAUGCUGGCUGACUGCCACAUGUUCCUGGUUCGUGCUGGAAUUGGAUUGAAGUGUACUGCCUCAGAUUCUUUUUAGAAGUGGGUAAAGUAUAACUCAUGUGUAAAUAUGUCCCAGGUGAGAAAGGAAAGCAUAUUUCAGGCCAAAGCAUCCUGGAACAUGCAACACAAAUAGGGCUUGGUCUUUGGCUAUACAUAUAAAACUUGGAUGGAAUGCAAAUCUUUCGCUAGGUUCUGUAUGUUUCUUGGAAUGUCGCAAUAAUGAGACCCAAUGUUCAGCUAUCUGACUGCUGAAAUUGGCAGCCAUUUCUGGGAAGCCUUUUUGGAAGAUAUUGUCUGUCUGAUGGAUGAAAUUUCUAGGGAACUACAAUUUGCCAAUAUUAACCUCAAUAGAUUUUCAUAAAAUAAUAGAAAUUAUUGUUAAAGAGCUCCUACUGCCAUCUUCUCAAACAUAAAAGCUCCAGGGCCAGAUGACUGUCAUAGAGGAAUUCUACCAAGCUUUUCAAGAGUAAAUUAUUCUAAUGCUAUUUUAACUGUUCUGGAGCAUAGAAGAUGAAAGAAAACUUUCAAAAACUUCUUAUGAAUUAAGUGUAACACUGAUACUGACAAAGAUUGCCCCCAAAAUAAAACUAUUAGUUCAAUGCCACUUGUAAAUAUCAAUGCAAAAGGUGUAAGUAAAAUAACAGGAAGUAAUUCAAUGUCACAUAAAAGGAAAUGGGUUUGAUUUGAGAAAUAUAAAGAUUGUUCAACAUUGGUAAAUCUAUGAAUGUAAUCAAUCAUUGUAAUUAAUCCAAGGAGAAAAAUAAUUUGAUUGUAUUAAAAAAUGUUAAAACAAUCAUUCAGGAGAUUAAACAACUAAUAUUGAUUUAAAAAAAUACACUC